AUUAAUAUGUAAACGAAAAAUUGAUUGGUUAUGUGAAUUAAUAAAUGGUAGUCUCACUAUAUAUUUUGGGAGAUGGUUGACGGACCAGAUACAUAGAGAACCCUACCAUAAAUAUUGCCUCAUACUAGACGGGGUAUCGAGGAUUGAUAUUUUUGGCGCUCAUAUCGGACGGGGUAUGGGGACGGCCCGAUCAGACAGAGUAUCGAGAAUUGGUAUUUUUGGCACUCAUACUGGACAGGGUAUAGGGA
rnacentral:lncRNA from 1 species